UACGUAGGGGGCAAGCGUUGUCCGGAAUCAUUGGGCGUAAAGAGCGCGUAGGCGGUCCGGUAAGUCCGCUCUGAAAGUCCGGGGCUCAACCCCGGGAGGCGGGCGGAUACUGCCGGGCUAGAGUCCGGAAGAGGCGAGUGGAAUUCCUGGUGUAGCGGUGAAAUGCGCAGAUAUCAGGAGGAACACCGAUGGCGAAGGCAGCUCGCUGGGACGGUACUGACGCUGAGGCGCGAAAGCUAGGGGAGCAAACGGG
rnacentral:rRNA from 1 species